CUUGACUAGGCUGGGUGAGAUUGACACUUCAGGCUGUGGUCUACUCCAUAAACCUGCAACACCCAGUCUUAUGGUGGGAAGAAUAGCAGGCAAAUAGUGAUUCAGGAAUGUCCUAAAGAAUGCUGGACAACGAUCCUCAAGAUUGCCAGGAUUCAAAUUUUCUUGAAAUCAUCCAAAUAUGUAUGACACUGAUCUUGGAAGGUACAUCAUGGCAUGUGCGUGUGCAUGUAAACAGAUAUGAUGAUGAUAAUGAUGAUGAUGAGGAGGACAAUGACAAAAAAGAUGAAGACAUCCAUUGUCAACUUCUGUAACCACCUGCAUUGAAUCUUUCCAUCACCCUCCACUCGUUGUGGCAUGUUUGAUAAUCACACGUGUACAUGUAACCUGCGAUCUACCAUUUGAUUGAUAAGCAUAUCGAUAAUAAGAUUCAGAAGGAACAAAGAGCUUGCAGUUGCCAUGGUACUGAUUCCAAAUGAGACCUCAAGAACUCAGUCAAGUGAAGCCUCCUCCUCACGCAUAGGACCUGGGAUCUGAAUUUGGAUCCUCUUGUAUGUGGGGCACUUUACCAGUGAGCCAUCUCUCUGCCUUUCAGUGAUAAAAUAGCAUCACUAGAGAGGCUGGAGGAAACACAUUGGUGAUAGAUUCAUUUAUGUCCCAGAUGAUGUUAACCCUUUUAGGUUGCAAGGAACUGGUGGUGUCCGGCACACUUCACCAUCCAUCAGCUGAGGGAUGCUCUAGGUUGGAGCCUGGACUACUGGACUUGCUGCCUUCCAGCCACAACACAGGCUCUGCAGAGGCACUUCUCAUAUAAGCAAAUGCCAGUACCCACAGUGGACAACCAGACACUGAGGGUGGAGCAGGCAAGAGUGACAUAUUGUCAUCCCCACAGCUCACAUGGAGCCACUUUCUUCACUUGUUCCUCCUACACUGGGCGCUGAAGGAAACCAGGAGUGUUUCCUCCAGAAGGUGAUAAAGGAGCUGUCAUGAUGUGACUGUGCAGUGCCCCGCCCCCAGGCUCAUAGGUUUGAACACCUAGUUUUCACUUGGUGGUAUUGUUUGGGUUGGUUGUGAACUCUUGAGGAGUUGUAGCUUUGCUGGAAGAAGUGGUUUAAAGGGGUUUUGUAGUCAACUCCACAUCUUGUUCUCUCCCUUUCUGCAUUCUGACUUCGGAUUAAACUGAGAGCAGCUGGCCUAAUGCUCUGUGGCCACGCUUCCUCUGCCAUGGACUGCCCUGGAACUCUAAGGCUGGAAUAAAUCCUUUCUUCCC
rnacentral:lncRNA from 1 species